rnacentral:rRNA from 1 species
AUUGAACGCUGGCGGCAUGCUUUACACAUGCAAGUCGAACGGUAACAGGCCUUCGGGUGCUGACGAGUGGCGAACGGGUGAGUAAUGCAUCGGAACGUACCCAGAGGUGGGGGAUAACGCAGCGAAAGCUGUGCUAAUACCGCAUGUGAUCUGAGGAUGAAAGCGGGGGACCGAGCAGCAAUGUUUGGCCUCGCGCCUUUGGAGCGGCCGAUGCCGGAUUAGCUAGUUGGUGGGGUAAAGGCCUACCAAGGCGACGAUCCGUAGCUGGUCUGAGAGGACGACCAGCCACACUGGGACUGAGACACGGCCCAGACUCCUACGGGAGGCAGCAGUGGGGAAUUUUGGACAAUGGGCGCAAGCCUGAUCCAGCAAUGCCGCGUGCGGGAAGAAGGCCUUCGGGUUGUAAACCGCUUUUGGCAGGAACGAAACGGUGUCCGCUAAUACCGGGCGCUAAUGACGGUACCUGAAGAAUAAGCACCGGCUAACUACGUG